rnacentral:lncRNA from 1 species
UUAUAAAAUAAUUCGAAAAAUUAAUCAGGAAUAACCUUUGUGUUUUGAUUUAUAUAAUUGAUAUAAAUCAAAAUAUCGUGUUAUUUCUGAUUAAUUUUUCGAAUUACUUUAUUUAGGUGUUGAGAGAACUUUGGUGACCCCAUAGUUUAAGUGUCUUUAAAAAGUACAUAGUGAGCAUUGGUCGUUACAUACAAACGUUCACCUAAAUUGUCCCAGUCAAUGAAUGAUUUUAAUGUGUCAAUCAAUGGCCACAGCUACA